CCUUUGUCUGUCAAGGCCCCUGAGGGUUCUCCAUGAAGGAAAAUCAUGAAAUGUAAUGAUCACGAACAGAUCCUUCGAAUGGCAACAGACUCAGAAUGGAAAUACAUUUUCCAGGAUUCUGUUCACCCUGAUCAGUGACUCAGACCUUAGAAGAAUAUACAAUCACCAACAAGAUGCAAAAAACUCAGCCACUGCUCCAGUGGGUGGGAGAACUUGACACCAUGCCUGUGGUGCUGGCUUUGUGUCCAUGCAGAAUGGAGGAGUUGUUGCAUCAGGGAGCCUUCCAGUCAGAAGUUGCGGGUGUCAGGUGUUAUGUCUCAGUGACAAUAAAGUAGCAAGACAAGAAUCAAUAACGCCU
rnacentral:lncRNA from 1 species